rnacentral:rRNA from 1 species
GAUGAACGCUGGCGGCGUGCCUAAUACAUGCAAGUCGAGCGAACAGACGAGGAGCUUGCUCCUUCGACGUUAGCGGCGGACGGGUGAGUAACACGUAGGUAACCUACCUAUAAGACUGGGAUAACUUCGGGAAACCGGAGCUAAUACCGGAUAAUAUUUCGAACCGCAUGGUUCGAUAGUGAAAGAUGGCUUUGCUAUCACUUAUAGAUGGACCUGCGCCGUAUUAGCUAGUUGGUAAGGUAACGGCUUACCAAGGCAACGAUACGUAGCCGACCUGAGAGGGUGAUCGGCCACACUGGAACUGAGACACGGUCCAGACUCCUACGGGAGGCAGCAGUAGGGAAUCUGACGCAAUGGGCGAAAGCCUGACGGAGCAACGCCGCGUGAGUGAUGAAGGUCUUCGGAUCGUAAAACUCUGUUAUUAGGGAAGAACAAACGUGUAAGUAACUGUGCACGUCUUGACGGUACCUAAUCAGAAAGCCACGGCUAACUACGUG